AUGAAGGUCUUCGAGGGACUGGUUAAAAACAUCAUCUGCUCCUCCAUCCCGGAUACUUUGGACCCUCUUCAGUUUGCUUAUCGCCCCAACAGAUCCACUGAUGAUGCCAUCUCUCACAUCCUGCACUCUUCUCUCACACACAUUGACAGCAAUAACAGGAACUAUGUAAGGCUGCUAUUUAUCGACUAUAGCUCAGCUUUCAAUACUAUAGUCCCCAUAAAGCUAGCUUCUAAACUCAUGGACCUCGGCCUGAAUUCUUCACUAUGCAACUGGAUUCCUCAAGUGGUGAAAGUAGGCCAGUUCACCUCUAACUCCAUCACCCUGAACAUAGGAGCUCCACAAGGCUGUGUCCUGAGUCCCCUGCUCUACUCUCUCUACACACAUGACUGCGUGUCUUCCCACAGCUCCACAUCUAUUAUCAAAUUUGCUGAUGAUACUGUGGUUCUGAGCCUCAUUCACAACAAUAAUGAGACCGCAUACUUGGAUGAGGUAGAGAAAUUAACAUCAUGGUGCCAGGACAAUUGUCUCUUUCUGAAUGUGAGCAAAACUAAAGAGCUGAUUGUUGACUUCAGGAAGAGACAGCAGCAGCCCUAUAUUCCUCUUAUGAUCAGCGGGACCCCUGUGGAGAGGGUGAGCAGCUUCAAGUACCUCGGUGUAAACAUCUCAGAGGACCUGACUUGGACUACCCACAUUCAAACACAGGGGUCAUAGAAAGUGUACUGACUCAGUGUAUCUCAGUGUGGUAUGGGAACAGCUCCAGUCAUGACUGCAAAGCCCUGCAGAGAGUUGUGCGCUUAGCUGAGUGCAUCACAGGGUCUGCUCUCCCCUCUCUGCAGGACAUCUACCUCAAACGCUGCAAAAACAGAGCUGUUAAAAUCAUCAAGGACUCAAUUACCCCAGUAACCAUCUUUUCACUUUGCUGCCAUCUGGUAAGCGCUUCUGUAGUCUGAUGGCAAAAACCGAGAGACUUAAGGGGGUCGCACACCGGACGAGAAGCGCAGCGCCGCGUCGCGUCGCACCACGUCUUUAAAAUUCGAACACAUUAUUCUCUAUGAGUGUACACACACCGGCGGUGCCAUUCGGCGUCUGUCCGCGGCGCCCAGCUAUGACUCAGGACGCUGUUCAAAUUCCUGCCGCGCCACGGAGCGCCAUCUGCAUAGUUUUGUAUUAAAUAACAUAAUAUUUGUUUCAAACCGUUGUUCAUACAUUAUACCAAGAUACCACUGCUGCAAAAUACUACUUACAUUAGUUGUACAGCUUGAAUAAAAUGUUAACAUAUAUAAAUAAAUGUAUAAUAAACGUAGUCCUUUUAAUCUUUUAUUUUUCUCUCGAGACAUUUAAUACAGUAUUUGCCUGUCGUGAUUACAUUCAAUGUUGUCGGCAGCCACCUGCUGGAUUUACCAGGUCUCAACCGUCACAACACACUUCAGGUCAUUUAAAUAGCGGAGUAGCGGACCGCAAAAGACAAAAAACUAGUCAACGACGCAGGGAAAUACCCAGAAUUAUAUGCAACCAACCAUAGAUUCUUCAAAGACAACAUGAGGAAGUCAUAAACGUGGAGGAAGAUAGCGUUUUUCAUCGGUUUUUCAGGUAAGAAUGUCUAAUUUUCGAUCUGAGGUAAAAUGUUCAAUGACAGUCCUUAGAAACAUUAAGAAAUAAGCAUACCUAUAAAAAUAUGUGGCUUCUUUGUUUUUAUUGAGCGAACAAAUCAGUAUUAGUAGCUACAGCAUUGGAAAUGUUGAAAUUGCUUAUAAUAAUACAAAACUAUUGAUGAAUGGCAAUCUAGAAUGCUAAUGAUAAUCUAGACUAAAUUAUAACACAUAUUCUUUUCAUUAAUUAACGUUCAAAACUCAGCUAUUAUCAAUUAAAAUAAUAUAUGUAAAAUAAUAAUAAUAAUAAAUGAAGUCAAAUCUCAUUCAUUUUGCUGCUCAGAACUUGAUUCGAUAUUGAGCUCCAGCGUAUAGAAUGUGCGCGUCCGGUGUGCGAUACCUCGAGUUGUCCUACAUGUGGCGCGACGCGGCGCUGCGCUUCUCGUCCGGUGUGCGACCCCCUUUAGGAGGAGUUUCUUCCCCCAGGCCAUCAGGCUCCUAAACUCAAAACCGGCCUCUUAACAUCUACAUGUCUCCACUUAAUAUUCACUUAAUCAGUAAGAUAGUCGUCAUUCACUACCUCGCAUUGACAUACUGAAAGUGUCAACCUGUUUGCACAUUUGCCUCUUGUGCAUUCCUGUGUAUCUUAAUAUUUAAGACUGCAGUAUAAUGCACAUAUGCACAUUGCCUCUUGUACAUCCCUGUGUAUCUUAAUAUUUAAGACUACAGUUUACUUUCAUGCACAUUAUUUUCCACUAUAUAUUUAAUUCUACAGUAUACAUCUUUUUUUAUAUUUUGUUCUUAUAUUUUUAUUGUUUACUUUUAUUUCAUUCUUUCAUAGCUAUAUUUAUGUAUAUUUUAAUCUGUGUUGUAUUCUUUAAAAUUGCACUGUCCAUGGAGAGGACCUGACUCACAUUUCACUGCUGGUUAUAUAUGCUCUAUAUAAUUGUGUAUGUGACAAAUAAAAAAUCUUGAAUCUUGGAGAUUUUGUGUUUAUUGAACAAUAUUUUUCCUGGUUUCCACAUCAGUGGCGUUUGUUCUGAUAUCAGCUUUAACAGAAUCCUGUGCCGAAUUUGAAUGCUUCUCACAAGAUUUCACAGAGUUGUUAUUCAUUCUGUGGGGAAUUCUACUGCCUUCUUCACACUGUAUCUCCCAGCGCUGUGUAUAACGGUUUCACGUGAUCGAGAUCAGCCCGUGGCUCCGGCUUGUGUGGAUAAAUGGUCUGCGCUGUGUAGCCCGAACUAGUAGUGCGGAAUCGUUCUGCUUUCGGUUUGUUUAUCCAAUGUAGCUCUUGUAAAUCGGUCAUGAUGAGAAUGCAUGGCUGUUCAUUCCAUUUUUGGAACUAAGAAACAACCUUACUUUGACUGAAUGCCCAUUGCGAUGACGUCACGGGACACUUCUAAGCCCAAAUUCUGCGGAAAAUUUGUGGCAAUUAUGAAAAUUUGUGAUCAUUUGCGAAAAUUGCGGAGUUUGCUUGAUUUCGCGAUAAAUUUAGCGUUAAUUCGCAAAAUCCUGGAGGGACUGAUAGAACCACGAAGAGACAAAAGUCUGUCCCUGGAGUAGAUGAGUCCAUGCCCCGCACCGACAUCAUUUAACUUGAUACUCCAGACAGCGCAGUCAGUAAUGAUCCAUGCAAUUAUAAGAACAGUCCAAAUCCAAUUUGUCAAAUUCCCCAUGGUGUUUCAGCCAUAGUACACUCUCUGCAUUAACAUAAAAAACUAAAUUAAUCAACACUGAAA
ensembl:lncRNA